rnacentral:rRNA from 1 species
ACAAUGGAGAGUUUGAUCCUGGCUCAGGAUGAACGCUAGCUACAGGCUUAACACAUGCAAGUCGAGGGGAAACGACAUCGAAAGCUUGCUUUUGAUGGGCGUCGACCGGCGCACGGGUGAGUAACGCGUAUCCAACCUGCCCACCACUUGGGGAUAACCUUGCGAAAGUAAGACUAAUACCCAAUGA